UCUGCGUCAUAUUUCGGGUUUCGCGUAGCUCAAUUGGCAGAGCAUUGCAAUAUAUAACAAUAUGCAAUCAUGCGAUCGUGAGGUUCGAUCCCAGGGAACACGUGCUCAAAAAGUGCAUAUGCACUAUAAAUCACUAAGGGUAGGUUUAGGGGUGGUGUGGUUGUAGCUGUUAAUAAAAAAUGAGUUUUGCUAAAUGGAAAUAGGACAAAUGGUGUAAAAAGUCCACACAUUGCAUUUAAAUGAACACGCAUUUUGAUUGGUGCGUUUCAUGACGACAGACGUACUAUAUCAUGACACUGUCAUUAUUUUUACGCCAGCUAGAGGGCGCAUGACUUAAAAAUGUAAAUAUAGGUUGUAAUAAGGUGCUUGAAAAAUGACCUAUAGGGUCAUUUUUUUUUUUUUUUUUUGAAGACAGUCUGGUUUUGAAAUGUACCAAUGAACAUAAGAGUCUCCAUAGACUCCAGCCAUCUGAGUCACUGAAGACUUUGUGGUUAAAUUAAAUUUUCGAAGAAAACUGGUUAAGUCUUAUAUGUUUGCAACAAUCAUUUUGUGCCAGACUGCUUCAUAAAUGAGGGUCUUUUCAAUGCUGGAUUUUCACAAAGAUUGAUUCUGAAACAUAUAAGGCUGAACACCGCUACUGACAGUUUCUGACAUUUUCAGUGCGUGAGAUUGUCCUGUUUUGUUGUUGCCGGUAUGCCGGAGCAUGAGCUAUUGAAGCUCCGCCCUCUUCUUAAAAAAGUGAGCCUGGAGCACCAGCUCAUUUGCAUUUAAAGGGACACACACAAAAACGGCACAUUUUUGCUCACCCCCCAAAAUGAAUCGAUAAAUUUCAUAUUACUUUCAUACUUUUAUGGAGGGAAUAUGUUGUAUACAUUGUCGUUUAGUGAUAGAGAAAGUGGGCAAACCUUACAAUUGAAUAACUAAUGGAACUACCUCAAUAACCUCAACUCUAGUACCUCAGCUUCAGUUCACACUCAAUUUUAACCCAGUAGUUUACAACUUCUGUUGAACCUUAAGACUAGCACUUGUAUCAUUUUACAUGAUCUGAAAGCAACUCAAGCAAUUAUCAUAUUAGGCCUAUUAUAAAUUCAAAAGGUUGUUGUACUGUUCUUAGACUUUAAAUUACAUUUCCCCUAUCGUCAAAAAUCUUUGAGAUGCCAUUUGCCAUAAAACAAUAUGAUUGAUUGUUCAGAUAAGCUCUGGUUUUAGCAUUUAGGACUGAUAAGCAUGCUGUGAAGAAGGAAACAUGAUGUGAUGUUUUAUCAGCUCCUUAUCUCACAAUGUAAUCAUGCUAAUAUCUGCAGAUCAGUGUGCGUUGCAGGGGGAAAUGGAUAGUGCUGAGUAAUGUCUCCUCUCAGUCUGUGCCGCCCAUGCCAGCACUGAUGUAACCGUGCCAGUAACUGAGUCUGCCGUCUCAGAUAUUGAGUCUGGGAGCGCACAGCCAAGCACUCGUCCCCCUGCCCUGUCUUUGAGACUCGAAGACAGUGGCAACAGUUCUUGUGUCCCUAUCUAAUGCUAACCUAAAACCACAUCUUCCAGUCUCUCUCUCCUUUACAGAGAUGAGACUCAAGCUUUGGCAUAAUUGUUGGAUGAGCCAGUAGGUGGUUCCAAGGCUUGAGGCUUCAGUUUCAAAUGUGCAUUAGCUGAUAAAUCAUAUUACUUCAUCACGCUGUCAUUCCUCUGAAAACAUAGACUCCGUAAUACCAUCAUGAUGACAUGUAUGCUUAUCUCAUGAGCUUGCACAUUUUAAUAAGUUGUGUGAAGUCUCACAAGCCCCUACUGUUCUUCGGUAAGUUGCCAUUUUAUCCUUCAGCUCACUUAUUUAGACACUUUAAGGGAAAUUACAUAAUGUAAGCAUGGGCCACAAUGAAUAACCACAGCAACCAGGAGCUCAAACCACUGUCGGAUGAUAGAACUAAUAGCUCAGACAUUUGAAAAUGACAGGUGAUAUUACCUUUCAGCAAAGAUUGUCCAGAUCCUAGGAAUGAGGGGACAUAGAGAUCCGAUUAGACUGAUUACCUCAUCAUUGUUUAGAGUGGCGGGAAGACAGUGAACUUCAUUUCACAGAAUGACUGCAGGCACUGUGAUGGAAGGCUAAUCAAUUGAUAGAUUACGCAACUGAUACGAGUGCUGUGCUAAAGCUGGGAGUGACUGUGAGUGGGAUUACUGUGGCCUCAAUGGACUGAAUGACUGAGAACUAACGGUCACUGGGGUCACUGACACUGAUAUCUGCUUCUUAGAAAACCAGAAUGUCAGACAUUGCAAGCAAGCUUGUAGAGCUGGAUUUGUCUAGGAUUUCAGAUUAUAACAUGUGGUGUAAUACAUCAUUCUUGUCAACUGGACAUGUUUCUCUUUGUUUUUGUUUUUUUUGUUUUUUCUCUCUCUUUUUCUGUAGCUUAAGAUGGUUCAGCUCUCAUCUAGGUGACUUCAUCAGUUGUGGAUUUAUGGUGGAGGUGCCUCUGCAUUUAACCUUGUUGAGCAACACUCUAGAGAGGACAUCUGGAAAAAAGGGAUCACAGAAAGCUCAAACAAAUCAACAACAAAAAAAGUUGGAGAAGUUCCUUGAAGACGUGGGCAUGAAUAUGAAGCGUGCGGUGGACAUCCAACCCAGCCUACAUCCAAGUGUGAUGUCAGAAGCCAGGCCAAUGCCACCCUGCAGCCGAUUAAGUUUUUUUUUUUUUUUUUAUCAUAUCAAUCACAGUACUAAUUGCCUACACCAAACACUCAUCCCUAAACCUCUACCUGUCUCCACCCCCUGGAUCUGGAUCCAACCUCACCCCCUGUACUACAGUGAGGAGCUACUGAAUCCUGGUGGACCAAUUUCCAGCAGUUUAGCUCAGCCCUAUUUAAACACACCUGAACCAGCUAAUCAAGAUAUUCAGAAUCACUAGAAACUUCUAGGCAGGUGUGUUGGAGAUUAAUUCUGAAGGACAUUGGCCCUCUAGGAGCAAGAUUAGACACCCCUGAGGUAUGCCAAAGAUGUCCAAUAUUGCUCCUGGAGGGUCAUUGUCCUGCAGAGUUCAUCUCCAAACCUAAACACACCUGAACCAGCUAAUCAUUGGCUGUGUCCGAAGUUGCCCCUAUACCCUUAAAUAGGGCACUAUUUGAGGGAACAGUCAUUUGUAGCGGUGUCCGAAUCCAUAGUGGACAUUAUCGAGUGUACUAAUUCAAUACGAUAAUGCACCGCAAUAACGAGUGUGCAACAGAUGUACACUCACCGGCUAGAGAAAACCCAUAAUGCACUGUGAAGGUUGUGUCAAAUGAAUUCCCGCAUCUCACCAGAAGAUGGUGCCCGCGGCUGAAUCAUCCAUCCAUCCAUCCAUUUUCCAAACCUCUGGUCCAAUGUGGCUACAGCAUAAUAUCAUACAGGUAUAAAUUCAUUUUAAUUGAUUAUAAAAUUGUUUAAUUAAGGUUUAUACAUGCUAGUUUCCAUGACAGAGUUCAAGAUAAAUCUUUUUAGUACUAUAGGAGCUGCCAGUUUGCUAAGUUUCAAAUGAUUAGUAAACAGCAAGCACAAACUAUGCAAAAGCGUCGCACUCAGUGGCGCACCUAUUGUCCAAAUUCACUCACUCGUUUUCAUUCACUCCUUCAAGUGAACUACAUUAGUUGAGUAAUGUAGGGAAUAGUGAAUGAGGGUAUAGGGGGCGAUUUUGAACACAGCUAAGGUCUUUAGCAUUACUCAAAAGUUCCAGGCACAUGUGUUUGAUGCAGGGUGGAGCUAAUUUGCAGGAUUUGACAACUGAUGUGCUUUUCUGAUAUAUUUGUAAGAUUACAAAUACGAUGUGGUAACAUCAUCUGACUACCUUCUGAUUUUCACCCUGUUUCACUCCUGAAAUCUUCUUCUCUGCUACAACUCCAACAAUUCUUGUGGUCUUGUGUGUAAUGAUGUUAAUAAGUCUUCACCAUCAGUCUACAACUGAUCAGGCUUGAAUAAGUGGUGAAAUGUGUUCAGAUAAAAAGAAGCAUCCAGUUGACCAGAAAAAUCUACUAGAACAAUCUAUUAUGACCUGGACAAACGAGAAUCUUCCCAGAAGUGCUGUAGCACUGAAUAGUAAAUUAUAGCACACAGAUUUACAUAAGUUCUUGACAGGUGGUGUGACAGACCACCAGGCAACAACGUCCAUUCCUUCUAAAACUGAUCCACCAAAUCAUACAUUCAUCCAUGUAAGACUCCUCUACACCCAUGCUGAGUUGCCUUGAACCAUCCCACCCGCUUGGCUACAAUGGAAAACAUCCCCCUCCUCUCACUCAACCCCCUAUUCCUCUAGCCUCACGGAAGACAUGAUGACAGUGGUGUCAGCACAGGUCACGGUGAUACACAGAGUCUGUUCGCACCAAGCUGCCAAUUCCUAUUCUUUCUCCUUUUCUUACUCCUCUCCCGUUGCUAGAUUUCUGGGUAGGUUCAUAGGGUCCAAAUUCCUGCCCAUCAGCAGCUCCGCUUAUGGCUCAGAGGUGUGGGGUUUCCACCUCUCUUGGCUGAUGGGCUCACUCGAUGUGGUCUUAAAGCCAAACUCAAAUAGGAUAGUGCUUCUUUUGGGCAAUUGUAAUCGGUUUAAUCUAAUUGCAGCGCAUCUUGUUUUUGACCAAGUGUGCAACAGAGUUUAUGUAGCUCAAGGUCAGAUGUGCUAUAUUUUCUGCUUUUUCAUAAAUGGCUCUGUGAUUAAGGAUAAUUCAUCACUGUUGACCAGCCAGAUCAUCUAAAUUAUACAUUAAUCUGUAAAUAAAGCAUUUCAGUGGCUAAUAAGAGAAAA